UGUGGUUCAGUGAUAGAGCACUUAUCUAGCACAUGUGAGGCCCUGGGUUCGAUUCUCAGCACCACAU
rnacentral:tRNA from 1 species